UACGAAGGUCCCAAGCGUUAUCCGGAUUUAUUGGGUUUAAAGGGUGCGUAGGCGGGUUAUUAAGUCAGUGGUGAAAGCCUUCAGCUUAACUGAAGAAUUGCCAUUGAUACUGAUGAUCUUGAGUAUGAUUGAGGUUGGCGGAAUGUGUCAUGUAGCGGUGAAAUGCUUAGAUAUGACACAGAACACCGAUUGCGAAGGCAGCUAACUAAGUCAUAACUGACGCUGAUGCACGAAAGCGUGGGGGAGCAAACAGG
rnacentral:rRNA from 1 species